CUUGACAUCCACGGAAGUUUUCAGAGAUGAGAAUGUGCCUUCGGGAACCGUGAGACAGGUGCUGCAUGGCUGUCGUCAGCUCGUGUUGUGAAAUGUUGGGUUAAGUCCCGCAACGAGCGCAACCCUUAUCCUUUGUUGCCAGCGGUCCGGCCGGGAACUCAAAGGAGACUGCCAGUGAUAAACUGGAGGAAGGUGGGGAUGACGUCAAGUCAUCAUGGCCCUUACGACCAGGGCUACACACGUGCUACAAUGGCGCAUACAAAGAGAAGCGACCUCGCGAGAGCAAGCGGACCUCAUAAAGUGCGUCGUAGUCCGGAUUGGAGUCUGCAACUCGACUCCAUGAAGUCGGAAUCGCUAGUAAUCGUGGAUCAGAAUGCCACGGUGAAUACGUUCCCGGGCCUUGUACACACCGCCCGUCACACCAUGGGAGUGGGUUGCAAAAGAAGUAGGUAGCUUAACCUUCGGGAGGGCGCUUACCACUUUGUGAUUCAUGACUGGGGUGAAGUCGUAACAAGGUAACCGUAGGGGAACCUGCGGUUGGAUCAC
rnacentral:rRNA from 2 species